rnacentral:rRNA from 1 species
UACGGAAGGCAGCAGUGGGGAAUAUUGGACAAUGGGCGGAAGCCUGAUCCAGCCAUGCCGCGUGUGUGAAGAAGGCCUUUUGGUUGUAAAGCACUUUAAGCGAGGAGGAGGCUCUCCUAGUUAAUACCUAGGAAGAGUGGACGUUACUCGCAGAAUAAGCACCGGCUAACUCUGUGCCAGCAGCCGCGGUAAUACAGAGGGUGCGAGCGUUAAUCGGAUUUACUGGGCGUAAAAGCGUGCGUAGGCGGCUGAUUAAGUCGGAUGUGAAAUCCCUGAGCUUAACUUAGGAAUUGCAUUCGAUACUGGUCAGCUAGAGUAUGGGAGAGGAUGGUAGAAUUCCAGGUGUAGCGGUGAAAUGCGUAGAGAUCUGGAGGAAUACCGAUGGCGAAGGCAGCCAUCUGGGCCUAAUACUGACGCUGAGGUCGAAAGCAUGGGGAAGCAAACAGGGAUUAGAUAACC